UCCGGAAACGGGUGCUAAUACCGCAUAGUUUUCUUGAUCGCAUGAUCGGGAAAGGAAAGACGGCCUUUGUGCUGUCGCUUAUGGAUGGACCCGCGGCGUAUUAGUUAGUUGGUGAGGUAACGGCUCACCAAGACGAUGAUACGUAGCCGACCUGAGAGGGUGAUCGGCCACAUUGGGACUGAGACACGGCCCAAACUCCUGCGGGAGGCAGCAGUAGGGAAUCUUCCGCAAUGGACGAAAGUCUGACGGAGCAACGCCGCGUGAGUGAAGAAGGGUUUUUUCCGGGAUCGUAAAACUCUGUUGUCAGAGAAGAACAAGUUGGAGAGUAACUGCUCCAGCCUUGACGGUAUCUGACCAGAAAGCCACGGCUAACUACGUGCCAGCCGCAGC
rnacentral:rRNA from 1 species